rnacentral:tRNA from 1 species
GUAUCGGAAGGUGCGGCUGGAUCACCUCCUUUCUAGAUUGACAUGAAAGUAUUUUCAAACUCCUUAUUUAUAAUUUAUUAUAGAUAUAGACUUGGGAUGAAAUCGUCAUAAGAACAGCAUUGCCUUCGUAGAUACCCAUAUUUAUCGCCUGUCAUAUUACAAACACAAGGGGGUGUAGCUCACCUGGUAGAGCGGUUGCUUUGCAAGCAAUAGGUAGCAGGUUCGAGUCCUGUCACCUCCACCAAGUUUUAGUGGUUCACGUUUGGGCCUUUAGCUCAGUUGGUUAGAGCACUGUGUUGAUAACGCAGGGGUCGAUGGUUCGAGUCCAUCAAGGCCCACCACAGAAAACUGGUUUGUGAUUCAAGUUUAAAUAAAAAAGCAUAUGAGUGUAUUUUUAUUUAAGCUUUGCUUAAAAGAAGCGGUGCGCGAGCGCCGAGGCUGUUCUUUAACAAUUCAUAGAGUCGAAUCAGCGUUACUAGCGCGAAGUUCUAAAUAGGAAAGUAUAUAUUCUUAGUAAAGGGGUAUAUGCACCGUGCCUGUUUAGGAUGCUAGUAACCUAAAAUUUGAUUGCGUCAAAACAAAUAUGACAUUGCGAAUAAAGUAGCAAUACUCAUAGAGUAAUGACGAAAUCGUUCUCAAAAUAGAGCGUACUCUUAGGAGUACAAACCUUUUAGAAUAGAUUUUGCAUUUCGGCAAAUAACGCGUUGGGUGAAAGACCCAACGAAACCAUUCAUUGAUGAAAACGUAUAAUUGUGUGAGACACCAUAGUUAUAGAGUCAAGUGAAUAAGAGCAUGUGGUGGAUGCCUUGGC